ACAAAAACUGACUCCCGGGCAUAUUUUUUUCGGCCUUUAUGGGCAAAGAACUUUAGUACCGCUCAAAAUGAGGCCACCCAGUAGUUAGGUGUGAAUUUUCGAGACCUUUGGCACCGUUCUAAGAUGGGUCCUCUCUUCGUAGGCUAAUGCAUUGGCCCUUUUUUGACCCGUUUUGGGGCGAAAACAAAAACUGACUCCCGGGCAUAUUUUUUUCGGCCUUUAUGGGCAAAGAACUUUAAGUACCGCUCAAAAUGAGGCCACCCAGUAGUUAGGUGUGAAUUUUCGAGACCUUUGGCAUCGUUCUAAGAUGGGUCCUCUCUUCGUAGGCUAAUGCAUUGGCCCUUUUUUGACCCGUUUUGGGGCGAAAACAAAAACUGACUCCCGGGCAUAUUUUUUUCGGCCUUUAUGGGCAGAGAACUUUAGUACCGCUCAAAAUGAGGCCACCCAGUAGUUAGGUGUGAAUUUUCGAGACCUUUGGCAUCGUUCUAAGAUGGGUCCUCUCUUCGUAGGCUAAUGCAUUGGCCUUUUUUGACCCGUUUUGGGGCGAAAACAAAAACUGACUCCCGGGCAUAUUUUUUUCGGCCUUUAUGGGCAAAGAACUUUAGUACCGCUCAAAAUGAGGCCACCCAGUAGUUAGGUGUGAAUUUUCGAGACCUUUGGCACCGUUCUAAGAUGGGUCCUCUCUUCGUAGGCUAAUGCAUUGGCCCUUUUUGACCCGUUUUGGGGCGAAAACAAAAACUGACUCCCGGGCAUAUUUUUUUCGGCCUUUAUGGGCAAAGAACUUUAGUACCGCUCAAAAUGAGGCCACCCAGUAGUUAGGUGUGAAUUUUCGAGACCUUUGGCACCGUUCUAAGAUGGGUCCUCUCUUCGUAGGCUAAUGCAUUGGCCCUUUUUUGACCCGUUUUGGGGCGAAAACAAAAACUGACUCCCGGGCAUAUUUUUUUCGGCCUUUAUGGGCAAAGAACUUUAGUACCGCUCAAAAUGAGGCCACCCAGUAGUUAGGUGUGAAUUUUCGAGACCUUUGGCAUCGUUCUAAGAUGGGUCCUCUCUUCGUAGGCUAAUGCAUUGGCCCUUUUUUGACCCGUUUUGGGGCGAAAACAAAAACUGACUCCCGGGCAUAUUUUUUUCGGCCUUUAUGGGCAGAGAACUUUAGUACCGCUCAAAAUGAGGCCACCCAGUAGUUAGGUGUGAAUUUUCGAGACCUUUGGCAUCGUUCUAAGAUGGGUCCUCUCUUCGUAGGCUAAUGCAUUGGCCCUUUUUUGACCCGUUUUGGGGCGAAAACAAAAACUGACUCCCGGGCAUAUUUUUUUCGGCCUUUAUGGGCAGAGAACUUUAGUACCGCUCAAAAUGAGGCCACCCAGUAGUUAGGUGUGAAUUUUCGAGACCUUUGGCAUCGUUCUAAGAUGGGUCCUCUCUUCGUAGGCUAAUGCAUUGGCCCUUUUUUGACCCCUUUUUGGGGCGAAAACAAAAACUGACUCCCGAGCAUAUUUUUUUCGGCCUUUAUGGGCAAAGAACUUUAGUACCGCUCAAAAUGAGGCCACCCAGUAGUUAGGUGUGAAUUUUCGAGACCUUUGGCAUCGUUCUAAG
rnacentral:lncRNA from 1 species